UCGACAAUAGUUUAUUAAAAAUAGUAGAUUGUGAUUCUAAAGAAUAAGGAUUUAACCUUAUGUCGACC
rnacentral:tRNA from 1 species